rnacentral:rRNA from 1 species
GACGAACGCUGGCGGCGUGCUUAACACAUGCAAGUCGAGCGAUGAAGCUCCUUCGGGAGUGGAUUAGCGGCGGACGGGUGAGUAACACGUGGGUAACCUGCCUCAUAGAGGGGAAUAGCCUUUCGAAAGGAAGAUUAAUACCGCAUAAGAUUGUAGUAUCGCAUGAUACAGCAAUUAAAGGAGUAAUCCGCUAUGAGAUGGACCCGCGUCGCAUUAGCUAGUUGGUGAGGUAACGGCUCACCAAGGCGACGAUGCAUAGCCGACCUGAGAGGGUGAUCGGCCACAUUGGGACUGAGACACGGCCCAGACUCCUACGGGAGGCAGCAGUGGGGAAUAUUGCACAAUGGGGGAAACCCUGAUGCAGCAACGCCGCGUGAGUGAUGACGGUCUUCGGAUUGUAAAGCUCUGUCUUCAGGGACGAUAAUGACGGUACCUGAGGAGGAAGCCACGGCUAACUAUGUGCCAGCAGCCGCCGUAAAAC